rnacentral:misc_RNA from 1 species
GAACAUGUAUUGCUGGGCCUCGGAUGGAAGAUGGGAAUAAAUGUGUAUGGUGGAUGAUUGAUCUUGGUCAAGAUCACCAGGUUUGCUUCUACUCUUGGUUUGUUUAGCAACAAAUCUUUUGGUUUAUCAUCUACAAUAUUUCUUAAAUGGUAAUAUUGUACUUCUAAGUUUUGUCUAUUGUCUACAUGUUUACAUGAAACAGAAGAAAUCUGAUAUGCAAUCUUAAGAUAACUUUUUUCCUCUUUUGGGCCAGGCAGUUGUAAAAUGCUUGUGUUAGUGUAACUCUGCUUUUGAUGACUAAAGCACCAAACACUCCUCUUACUCUUCCCCUAUCUAAUGAUUAUAUGAGAAAAUAAUAAUGAUUCUCUCUUUUAUCCUGACGGAAUAUCAUAAUCUUCCUUUCAUAUAAAUCACUCAUGUUGCAUAUA